AGGCAGUGUGCUUAAAAUAGGUACGCUGAAGGUGCGGUGGCAGCCGGGAGCGAGGCAGCGUGGGCAGAUGGCUCUGUGGACUGACUGGGCCAUGUGCUUGGGGGGUCACUCCUUGCCCUUGCCCAGCAGGCCAGCAGAGCAGGCACUGAGCUAACAGGUCCAGAAGCACCCUCUGUGGGCGCUGGCAAGGCCUUAGACUUUAGGAUCAAUGUCCACCUUUCCUCAUUCUACAGGGAGGAAACCAAAGCCAGUGGGGUUCAGGGGCACCUCCAGGUUGAUUUGGAGUCUUUACAGAGGAUUCCCAGCCGGGCCACCAUGCAGGUCCCUCAGGUUCAGAAUGCCACCAUGCAAUUCAUUUCAUAGCAGGUCACAGUCUGCGUGGCCCCACCUGGCAACACGUAUUAGUGCCAGGAACUCUUUCCCUGGGUGUCAAAUCCAUGAGCAUGUUCCUCC
rnacentral:lncRNA from 1 species